GGCAGGGACUCGCUGGACUGUGAGGAGAAGCAGUGUGUCCUCACCUUUCCACCUUCCUCUGGCCACAGCUUUAGCUGCUGAAUGAUAACAAGGCUGCCUGCCGAUCUCAUAAGAGGGCAUCUUGGGCAAGGCAAGGAGAAAGGGCUUUGGAGUCUUGAGUUCAAAUCCCGGCUCCCCCAGCUGCUGUGCAACCGUGAUGUAUGACAGCCUCUCUGGGCCUCAGUGUUUGUAUCUGCAAGAUGAGGCUCUGACAUAGACCUGAUUAGGUUAUGGUGAGGAUUACACAAUCCCUGCUUGAAAGGCACCUGGCUUGUUCUGAGUAAACCCUGUGACUCCCUUUAAUUCCUGGUGGGUGGCUUGCUUGUGCCCUCAUGAGGUUCAGCACUUGGCAGUACCCUGUCACCUGUUCAUCAUUAGCAAUGACGGACGCAAUGCUUCCUCUGUGACAAAGCCUCAUCCGACAGAGCAGGACUGCAGGGCUUCUCCAGGGCUUGGGGAGGGGGACAAGGGCAGUGCGCACAGUUCCUUUUUGUUUGCUGAUGCCACACUAGGCACGUGAAAGGGCUGGGUCAGAGAACCCAGCUUGGCCCACGCUGUCUCGGUUGGUGGCCGUCCUCACCUUCCUCACCCUUCAGAUCCCGUAGGGAGCCCCUGCGGUGGUGCCAUGGACGGGAAGCAUCCCACCGUGCUUGUGGCUCACCUCGAGGUCCAGGUGUCACUGCAUGGCCUGAAAAGGACUGUCUCCGAGCAGAACAAGCUCAUGACCAAGAACAAAGAGGACAUCUUGACCGUGUAAGUAAUGAUGACCGCUCUGUCCCCAGCUCAUAGGGACCCUGAGGACUCCAGGUUGCCUCCCUAUGUUGGCUCCUGAUUCAAGCAGAUGGCAGGGGGGUGUGUCCCAAGGAGCUGGGUGCUGAUGUCAGGAGCCCAGCACCCUUGUGGAAGCCAAGAACGACACUGAGGGGGCAAGAAGAGACUGUGAUGAGCUAAGUGAUGGUGUUGUCCCCAGCACGCAACAAGGGCUGGUGCGGCAACUGGCGACCUGAGAGGGAGGGCUGGUCCCAGCAGGGAGGUGUUCAUAGAAGGGAGAGAUUUUCGGUGAGGAGUGGCAGCACAGUCAUUCUCAACCCAGUGUGUCUUGGGAGAUGCCUAUGGGGUGGAAGUUGGAUGAUCAGGCUGUUAUUGGGUCAAUCUGAUUCAAGGAGAGGGAGGAGAGGUGACGUGGCCAGAAGGAGGGCAGGAGGGUGGACAGCAGAGAAUGCAGCCGGCCACCCGGGCCAUCCCCCUUGCCUCCACUCACUCAUCCUUUCCCACCCCUGGGCCGAGGAUGCGUCUCAUUAGGUAGUUUUCAGAUGGGUAAACUGAGGCAGGAGCCAUUCCAGGCCCAGAGAGGAGAGCCAGGAAGGCACGUGUUGUAAUCCCUGGGUUAGUUUUUCAUUCACACACAGGGGAACCUCUCCAGCCCUGCCACUCACUAGUUUUAAGAGGCUCAAGUGUUCUGAUUCCUGGCAGCAGCAACGUGGUAAUGCUUCUUUCUUGUUCCCUCCCUGAUCCCUUCUUCCCUCAUGCUUGAGGGCUUGGCCCCGCUUUUCUCCAUGUAUUUCCACCAGGGUGCCACACUGCCUGGAAUUGCAACCGCUGGGGCCUUGUCCAGUUUAUUAUCUCUCACCACAGGUGCAGGAAGGAGGCAGGGAGCAGGGCUGUGUCGCAGAGCAAGGCCAGGGCAUCCCACCCCACCAUGGCCGCCCAUCCCCAUGGCCUCCCUCAAGAUCAGGAAACUGCUCCACAUUGCAGUAACUAAGUGCACCAGGCGUGGCUGCUGGUGAGGGGUGGUCAGGCAGCACCUGUGGCCAGCCUAAAGGAAGGUCAAGGUUUGUGAAGGCAUCUGGUGCCUCCCCUGUUGAAAUUUCUUUUUCUCCUCCUUAUUAGUUGAAUCUUAAGAAUUGACAGUACCAUAAAACGUGAAACCUUUAUUUCUGCUUUUUAAAUGGAAAACCGGGCUGGGCACAGCGGCUCAUGCCUAUAAUCCCAGCACUUUGGGAGGCUGAGGUGGGCAGAUCGGCUGAGGUCAGGAGUUCAAGAUCAGCCUGGCCAACAUGGUGAAACCCCAUCUCUACUAAAAAUACAAAAAUUAGCCAGGCAUGGUGGCACAUGCCUGUAACCCCAGCUACUCAGGAGGCUGAGGCAGGAGAAUCGCUUAAACCCAGGAGGCGGAGGUUGCAGUGAGACGAGAUUGCGCCAUUGCACUCCAGCCUGGGUGGCAGAGUGAGACUCCACCUCAAAAAAAAGAAAAAAGGAAAACCAAGCAAAAGUCACUGUCAGGGGACCUCCCACCCACCAUACAGGGGAACACUCGGCAGAGCCAGAGGCCUGGGCCCAAGUCCUGCCACCAGCUGGCUGUGAAACUGUGGUACAGCACCUUGUGUCCUGCCACCAGCCGGCUGUGAAACUGGUACAGCACCUUGUCCUCAGGUCCUUGGUUUCCUCACUUGUAAAUUCAUGGUUCUCCAUGGCAUCUCUGGUCUUCAACAUUAUUUUGCAUAGAGUCUCAGAAGCUUUAGUGUGAGCGGAUGAUAUGGGCACGAAGCAAGGCACCCAGAAGUGGGGGCAACUACUCUGCUUUCUAAAAUGCAAGGGAACCGGAAAAUCCAGGAGCCGUGCCAAAUGAGAAGAGGAACAAAUGGAGGAACAUCCCAGUCAAGUGACAUUCCUAGUGACAUUCACCAGAACAGAGUCAAGCUUUGGAUCCCAUGUUCUGUGACUUCCUCUUCACCACGCUUCCUCCACACACGUAGCAGCUCAAGGGUUUCUGAUGAGUGGGAGGCUUGACUAGAAUUGAAUUCGAGACAAGCACAAAGAUCAUGAUGCAAAUGAAAGGGACAGAGGGGAGAGAAACAGAAAACAAAGCAUUGCACCCAGUGGAGAAGCAUGUGUGGCCAGGGAGCUGCAUGAAGGUGAAAUCAGAACCUGUCCUUGGAGCACUCCUGGAAGUAUGAGCAGGGGUGCAGUCAGGACGGCCUGACUCUCUGACCCUGUGACUGAGCCACAGGGGUCUCUUCUAUGCUUCACUGUGCUUCUUCAAUCUUGCCAUCACUGUGUUGAAAAAGCAUCCCUGGGCAUUUGUGGUGAAGCCAUUGGCAGAGCAUCAACAGUCUUUCCAAUGUACCAGUCCCACAGGGACCAGCCCCGGCUCCUUUACUUGGUUCAUCAUCCCACAAAAAAGGCUCCAGAGUGAUGAGUGGAGGGAAUGUGUAUACAAGCUGGGAGAUGCUUCAGGGAUGGGGCAUGACUCUGAGAAGCUCCACAUGCAAAACAGGGUUAUGAUGGUCUAGGAGCCAGCUGCAGGGAGGUGGGCAGCCAGGAGGUGGGCUGGGGCUAUCAGGGGAGUGACUGACUGCAAGGGCAGGCUCAAGGUGAAACUUUGAGAGGCAGAUCCCAAGGCCCUUGGAUCUGGCCUGUUACAGCAAAUGGAGGAGUAAGGCAGAAAAGUCCUCUAGGGCUGUCUUCUACUCUCUCCUCCAACAGAUUUUCACUGAGCAUUUGCCAUGAGCCAGACUCUGUUAGCUGUUGAGGUUUCAAGGGAAGGUAGAAAAGACAGAAGCAAACCAAUGAUAAAGAUAUCUAUUGUCUUUUAGUGACUUUCAUACACGCUCCCUCUCUUUUUUAUUCUGUGCAUCUCAUUAUCUAAGGGCUCGUUUUGUACCAAAUGCUUUUAUACAUCAUCUCAUUCAAAUCUCUCUGAGGUUGGAAAUGCUAUUUUUGUUUUACAGCUGUAAAAACUAAGGCCAGAGAGGGAAAGUGAGUGACCCAGGGCCCCACAGCUAGACAGAUUCAAAUCCAUGGGGUCUAUCUUAGUGACAAAGCUGGCACAUUUCUUCCCCUCCUUGUGCCUGCUGAGGUUUUUUUGUUUUGUUUUGUUUUGUUUUUUGUUUGUUUGUUUUGGCUUUUAACAUUUUACAAUAUUUUGCUAUUUUUUCCUAAUCAGGCAAUAUACAUAAAUAUUUUAACAAUCAACUAGUUUAAGAUUUAUGAAAAACAGCGUUUUCUUGCCCACCUUCUCCCAAUUCUUCCUGCUCCCCAGAGGCAGCCACUUCCAAAUGUUAGCCAGUUCAAUUCUACAUGUAAUAGGAGAACGGCAAUUUUUAUUGAUGUGUUGAUUUGAGACAUUUGGCAUCUUCCGGUGAUGAAGUUUUGUCUCUCUCUACUGGACACCAUCUGCCUCUUCCAGAUGUAUUCUUCUCACCCUGGGCAUUCUCCCAAGAGGCUGACCUGUAGGAACGCAGUGAACAGGCUACCUGAUCACUGGCUUCUGGGUUGGGUGUGGCUCAUGAGAGACAUUGGCAGGAGACUGGAUUGGAGGAAGAUGCAGGGGCCAGAGUGUUUACUCUCCUAGAUAAGCCCCUUCCUCCUCUUCUGGCAGGCAGUGCUCUCCAUAUAGCCGCUCUCUUAGGUUCUAGAAAUUGCUCCUACCUUGCCCUUGAGCUCUCAUGCCUAGAGGUGGCAAUGACUGCCUGCUACUGUCAGUGCUAGGUACUGCACUCUGUUUUCCUAAACCCUUUUCACACUUUUAUGAAUAGUCUAUUCAUUACAAUUAGAUACAACUUACCCCCACACCAUCCCCAUACAACUAUACACUCCCCUUCCAGUAUCCUCUCAAUAUAAUUAUAUCAUAUUUGUUGACAUCAUUAGUUGGACAGUAUUUACAUUAUUAAACUAUAUAAAUAUUGCUGACUACAUAGCCAAGUAGAGAGUUAUCAGUCGUGAUUGCAUUUCCUUUUCUAAACUAAUUUUUGUUUUUCCUGCGUUUAACUGCCCAUUUUAAAAAAAGACUUAGUUUUCAAUACAUAGGUCUUUAAUUCUUUCCACACACACCAUCAGACAUGUUAAAUGCAUGUACAUGUUGUUUUCCUGUUUCAAACAUUGUAAAUUCUCUGUAUCUUUUUCUUUGGGUGGGGGGCAAGUGUGAAGUAAACCAGCCUCCAGAAUAAAUAGAACUCAGUGUUAUGGAUUCUAAAAUUAAAAUCUUAACAAAUUAACAAAGUGAUGAAAACAGGAAGUUUAGCUCUCAAGGAUCCUUUAUUGGUCUUAAAGGUUUUACUCUCUUUGGCAAAUAUUGUGACCACUUUAUAGAUGCUACAUAUUCUACUAGACAAAUACUAUGACCUCUUUCAAAGUGUAUCAUCAUUCCCCUUUUAAAUAGCACAUUCGAAGUGUGCUGACUUUUAGUUCUAGGGUCUGCCUUCCCCUUACCUGCUGAGUGUCACAGGAUCUCUUCCCUCCUUGAUUAUCUCAAGGAGAUACAUCAACUUUUGGUUCAUAAAAGAAAGUCAGUCGCUUUUAUUUGUUAAAGACUUGAAGUAUGGGCUGGGCGUGGUGGCUCACGCCUGUAAUCCCAG
rnacentral:lncRNA from 1 species